AUGAAAAUAAUGCUUUACAUAUGACUGAGUUUAUCUCAUGCUCCAGAAUAAAAGCCUAUGCUUAUUCCAUGGGACAGGACUGCGCAGCUUCAGUACAUAAGAAUUCUGAAUGGCCUCUUGCCUCAGAAACUAACAUUGUUAUUCAUAAUGAGUUCCAGGACAAAUAAGAACAAUAAGGCUACAAUUAAAAGGGGCAACUGCUACUAUAGCUUAUAUAUACAUAUCAUGAAUUCUGCCUUAAUCUUUCCUGACCAUUGACUAUGUUAUUAACUCUCUAUGUAGAUUCAACUAUUCAACUGCUUAACUAUGUCUAAGCUACUAAUAAACCUUCCUGAAUGAAUAGCAGAUGAACAACUGAAUAUAAAUGAAAACAGAUGCCUCGAAGAAGAGAAUCUAGAAUUGUCAUCAACUCUUCAUGAUCACUACAUGUUUUCUCAUAUGCCCAUAGCACAUUGCCAAAGUUUAUUGACUUCUUCCAAAAUUUCUGUAUGAAAUUAUGAUUAUGACCUCAUAGAGUUCAGGAUUACUGACUAAAGAGCAUGCCUCCCCAGGAUGUUUUUCAAAGAAGCUGGUACCCCCAGGAGUGCUGGAGGAGGAAGGUACACAGAUGCAUUUGAGGACAUUACUAGCCUGAACGCUGCUCUAUGAGACAAUCUUCCAAAGUUUGACUCCUUUCAAAUCUGAGAACCUGGAGUCACUCCAUGAUCCAGAGACACAAGUCAGGGUUCAACCAGAGAAGCAGAACCAGUAGGGGACACAUAUGAAGAGACUUAUUCCAAGGAACCGGCUCACUAAAUGUGGAGGCCGGCCAGGUGGAAUUGUAAGGCUGUCAGCAAGGGCAGGUUGGAACUCUCUGGAAUGGGCUGAAACUGCUCUCCACAAGCAGAAUUUCUUCUGGGAAGACUCAGUUGCAUUUCUGAUGGAAUUAUCUAGAUAGUUAUUGAUUAUCUAGGAUAAUCUCUUUUACUUACAGUCAAUUGAUUAUGGACUUUAAUCACGUCUGAAAAAUACCUUCACGGCAACACCUAUAUAUGUGUUGGUGAAUAACUGGCAACAGCAGCUUACUUAGCCAAGUUGACACACUGAAAGACCAUCAGGGUUAAAUUUUCAGAUGUAGAAUUACUUAGUCAAAGGGGAUGGAAUUUUUCUUUUAAUCUGAUAUAUGUAUUCAAACUCCUUUUCUAAAAGAUCGUCACAAUUUUCUACGCGUUCCCACUCUGCCCCUGUCUUUUCUUGGGGUCGGUACCAGACUGCCCUGUCUUUUCUUGGGGUCAGUACCAGACUGCCUCCCCUACUGUACAGUGUAUGAGUGACUAAUACAGUUGAGAGUGCCCCUAAAAUAAAAGUACUGGUGUCUCAAGCACAACAUUUCCUGGCAGUAAUAUUUAAGGACUCGUCUUUCCCAGGACAGUUAGUCUUUCUUCUCCAUGACAUCUAGCCCCCUGAGCACUGUAGGAGCCUCACAGAGUAAAUGCCCAGAUCUAUUUAUAGGUGGGAACAUAAAUUACUAGUUAUUAUUUACUCCUCGUAGGAAAUGUGUUAGGCAUUUAGGGGGCAGAUAGAAGUAUUAACACUGUCCUCAAAAAGUCUAAAGUUGACAGUAAUUUUCAAAAAAACAUUUAAUGCUAUAUUCAUGUCAAAGUUUAUUUUUAUAUAUUUCUCUGGGAAAUGGG
ensembl:lncRNA